UUUCCGUAGGUGAACCUGCGGAAGGAUCAUUAAAAAAUGUGGUACCAAUUAUUGGUACUAAUUAAUCAUCCUACCCUUUGUGAAUUUGUUUGUAUGAAUUUUUUAAAUGGGUCUUUCCCUAAGUUGGAUUGUUAGUAAAAUACAAAAAGACUUAGGGGAAUGACUUUUUAAAAGACUUUUUUUAAUUAAAACUUUUUGUAUUCAUUUGUCUAAAAUUUAUUUUUAUAAUAUAAAAACAACUUUUGACAAUGGAUCUCUUGGUUCUCGCAACGAUGAAGAACGCAGCAAAAUGCGAUAAGUAGUGUGAAUUGCAGAAUACGUGAAUCAUCGAAUCUUCGAACGCAUAUUGCACUUUUUUAGUUUACUAAAAAGUAUGUCUGUUUGAGUAUCAGUAAAAUAUUCUCACAAACAUGUAUUGUUUGUGGUAAUGAGUGUUUUACAACGAUAAACAAGUUGUUUCACUUUAAAUUCUUUUGUAAUGAUUUUACCGAUUACAAAUUAAAAUUGGAUAAAAUUUUCCUUUAACGAGGAAUAACCUAAACAAUUUUAAAUUUUAUGGUUUGUAAAUUCAUAAAGGAAUCUAUACAUAAAUAACUUGAUCUCAAAUCAGAUAAGAGUACCCGCUGAACUUAAGCAUAUCAAUAAGCGGAGGAAAAGAAACUAACAAGGAUUCCCUUAGUAACGGCGAGUGAAGCGGGAAGAGCUCGAAUUUGAAAUCUUCAAGGUUUGACCUUGACGAAUUGUAGUUUAUAGAAGUGUUUUCUGUUGGAGUUUUGGUAAAAGUUCUUUGGAAUAGGACAUCAUAGAGGGUGAGAAUCCCGUAUUUGACCAUGACUUUCCAGCUGUGUGAUACACUUUCAAAGAGUCGGAUUGUUUGGGAAUGCAGUCCAAAAUGGGUGGUAAAUUUCAUCUAAAGCUAAAUAUUGGCGAGAGACCGAUAGCGAACAAGUACCGUGAGGGAAAGAUGAAAAGAACUUUGAAAAGAGAGUUAAACAGUACGUGAAAUUGUCAAAAGGGAAGCGUUUGACACCAGUGUUGUUUUCUCGAAAAUCAAUUUAAUGAGUUCUUGUUUUUAAGUUAUUGCGACUUUAUCAGCGCAUUUCUUAUCUUACUUGACUCAUUGAAUGCACUUUUCGUUUAACAAGUCAACAUCAAUUUCUUUGGUGGUAAAAAGUUUAAAGGAAGGUGGCUUGGACUUCGGUUCAAGUGUUUAUAGCCUUUUUUCUAUGCCAUCGGAGAGAUUGAGGUCUGCAGCGUAGAUCCUUCGGGGUUAGAUACCUUUGUGCUAAGUUAUAGUUUUUUAUAGACAACUUGUUGACUAUAAUUAACCCUGUAAUUUACUCGCUCAGGCUAUUUUACCUACGCUUAGGAUGUUGAG
rnacentral:misc_RNA from 1 species